AUUGAACGCUGGCGGCAGGCCUAACACAUGCAAGUCGAACGAGUGGCGGACGUGUGAGUAAUGUCUGGGAAACUGCCUGAUGUAGGGGGAUAACUACGGGAAACGGUAGCUAAUACCGCAUACCAUCAGAUGUGCCCAGAUGGGAUUAGAUAGGUGGUGGGGUAACGGCUCACCAAGGGGACGAUCCCUAGCUGAUCUGAGAGGAUGACAAGCGACCCUGGAACGGAGACGCGGUCCAGAGUACUACGGGAGGCAGCAGUGGGGAAUAUUGCACAAUGGGGGCAAGCCUGAUGCAGCCAUGCCGAGUGUAUGAAGAAGGCCUUCGGGUUGUAAAGUACGUUCAGCGGGGAGGCGGUACCCGCAGAAGAAGCACCGGCUAACUCCGUGCCAGCAGCCGCGGUAAUAC
rnacentral:rRNA from 1 species